rnacentral:lncRNA from 1 species
CAAUGCUUGAAAAGGAUAAAUAGACACCAGGAGGGCAGGGGCCAACCUCACGGCCCGUGAGGCGCUGAACCGUGCUGAGGCACUUUAAGACCUGCAGUGCCCCACCCCAACUGUUAAUGAGCUCAUUAACAGCCACUGCCCCUCUCUCCCUCAUAUCCAGCUCGGGGCAGUGGGGUUCAGAGUGAGGAGGGAUCACUUCGCUGUGAAGAGCUGUGUGGACGGGAGUCUGCCCAGGAGCCCAGGGAUGAAGGAAAUCUUGGACAUCUUUUGUUGUGUCACCACUUGUUAUCUGCUGCUAGCUGGUGUCGGGGGACUGAAAGACAAGAUAACUGACAUGCAGGAAAACCCACAACCUUCUUUCAAGUCAAUGUCUACAAAGAAACACCCUAUAAUUACCAACAAAAUCUAUCACGUGGUCACAGAGCCAACAUUUCAAAGCAGACUCCAUGCUUCCGUCUGAGACCUGCUUCUGGGUCUGAACUUGUUUAAUUUACUGCUUGGCACCUCUUUCUACCUGUCCUGUAGAGGCCAGGGUGGCAAAUGAGUGGCAGAUGAAAAGCGCUAAAAGACCCUCAAAAGGUGUUUUAGUGCUGGAGUAUGCAGCAGCAUGACAAGACAGAGCCUCUGUAAAAAUAUAUAUUUAUAUUUUUAACGAGGAGUGAGAACUUGUCAGAGGUGUAUGAUUGAAUAUCUAAUGCUUUUCUGUUGCGUAAGAAAGAAAUCAAGUUCAACUUAUAAGGAAGUGCGUGUGAUGAUUUACUUCAAAAAAGAAAAAGACAAAACAAAAAAAACAAGAAAACCUUCUCAGGAUUUUCCUCUUUCACUGCUUCUGUUUGUUUUUCCACAACUGACAGAUUUUAUGGCAGUUUCUCAAUGCAAACACAUCACUCAGGUACAGAAGAGGAGUAGAAAUAUGGCAUGAAUGGAGGAUGACUACUAGGCCAGAUGGUAGGAAACAUAAAGCUACUGUAUAUAAGCGAAGAGUUUGUGUUGUAAAUACAUAACAAAUCAGCAAAGGAAACAGGCCUUUAAAAAUAGACAGUGACAUUGCUUAGAGAAAGCAGACAUUGCUUGAAAAAAAACCAAAGCCAUUUUGUCUGUCUUUAGAAAGGCAAACGUUAAAAAGUGUAACAGAAUUUGGAUUUCCAUAGAUGAGCAGUAGUAUUUGAAACAGAAAUGAGAUCAGGUUAGGAAAAAGAAUCUUAAAAAAAAAAAAAAAAACCCAAAACAUUCAAAUUGUAGGAUCAAAAAAUCACUGAGGUUGGAACAAACCUCCAAGAUCAUCCAUUCCAACCAUCCACCUAUCACCAAUAUUUCCCUCUAAACCAUGUCCCUCAGUACAUCUAAACAUUUCUAUGCCUGCAUCUGCCUAAAUGUUGUAUUUUGAAGUCUAAAGAAAGAUGGGGGCUCUGUAUUCAGAAAUGUGAGAGAAUCCCAGUAGGAACAUUCCAGAGAAUAUUCUUGUUCCUGACUUUUCUCAUGUGUUCCUUGGGGGACAACAAAUAGAAGCGGGUGCAGAAAGGAUUUGUAGUGGUAGUACAGAUUUUGUAGGUAGAGCACAAAAUACCCACUUUGAUUUACUCAUCAGAUCAUAGAAUCAUAGCAGAAUCAUAGGAUGGCCUGGAUUGAAAAGGUCCAGAAUGAUUAUCUAGUUUCAACCCCCCUGAUCUGUGAUCUCCAAUUAACAUGAAGCGAUAACAGAAAUUUUCUUUGAAGUCAACAUCUCUAUUUCCAGUACAAAGCUAGAAAUUAACCUUUUUUGUCAAAUGCCUACUAACAUUCCUACUAACAAAUAUGACAGUCUGUAAAGGGGCAGAAAGAAGUUGUGUGAUUUAAUGUUGUGAGAGGCUGGGAUUUGAGCAGGAGUUAAAAAAUAAUUGAAGGAUUAAGUAAUCUGGAAAUAUCGGACUGAAACUUCUUUGGGAGUUGUGGGAUAUCAUGGGAUUUAAGAAGUGAUAGUGAAAGAAUCACACGUAAGUGUUUUUGCUGUAUAGAAGGAGUAGCGCCUGUUUUAAAGUUUAAUGUUUGGAAACCCUAAGAUGUCAAAGUACUUAAUUCAAACUUUAGUGCGGUAGUGGAAGGAGGCAAGUUGCAUGUGUACAUGACUUAGCUUGUUGAAGUCCUGCAAAUUAUAUUUGGUGGGAUGCAGUAGACUGUAAAAUUGGAAAAUGGAUAUUGUAACUUCAUUCAAAGAAUGCAGACUUGUAUGAGGAAAUUCAAUGUUUCUGUGGGGUUUGUUUUGAAAAGAUAAUUAAUGGCCUGUACUUAUUUUAUUGGAAGAGGAAGAACUUCUGCAAAGCAUCUUAGAGCAAAUCAAUGAGACAGGCUGCAGUUGUCACGCAGUGUUCACAGCAUUGUCAGAUGAAUAACCAGUUUUAGCUUCUUGGUAAAUCAGCAGAAAGUUAACUCCUUCUUAAUAGCAUGAAUAACAGGCAGAUGUCUAUACAUUUUAAAGUUUAAAAAAGAAAAUGAGAAUUAACUACACUUCAGACAUCCAGGCAGAAUAGAUAGCUAUGCAUCGUAUCUUAAUGAGAGAAUGACCUGAAACAAAGGCUGGAGUGGUGUGGGCCAGCUGCAAGCUCUUAUACUGUUAGAUAUUCUUAAUAACCUCAUCCUGAAAAGUUAGUCUAGGAUAUAAUGACUCCUAAUUUAAGUAUUACCUCUGAAGAUGUGGAUAUUUGUCCUCUGUGGCUCCUUUUCUGAAAUUCACUGUAUUUGAAUUCCUUUCUGUCUUGCGCUGGUUUCAGAAAGAGAGGAGAGGGUUUGUGCAUCCUCAUGCUGGAAGACUGGGGUAGUUCCUGCAUCGUUACUGGAGCACACAGAAACCUUUGCUAGUCUUCUGUGCAUGGAUGUGGGUCAGGCCAACAAAGCAGUAAAAAAAUCAGUGGCACAUCCUUGAGUUGGAAUGGAUGUGAUAGAAUUACAGGACUUACUGCUCAAUAAUGAAUAAAAAAAGAAAAAAAAAAAACAAAAGGAGAAAGAACUCCAAGUUGGGUCCUGCCUUGUUAUAUUAAUGCUUUAUUGUGGCACUUGAUAAGAAUUUCAUUUGCUUAAGAUACAGCUGUUGAGUUUGACUGUAUUCCAUAAAAAAUAGAUUAAUAGCUCUGGUUUAAAACAGCUGAAAAAAAUGUUAAUCUUGUCUACUCCUCAUCCCCUUUUCUUGCAGUGUUUCCUCAUGUCAGCUCAGAAUAUUUUUUUGUAAUAUUCAUUUAAAGUAAUUAGACACGAUAUGGCAGUCAGCUGUCACAGGGCUGUCAGCACAGUUUCUGUGUUUUCAAACUUUCUGCUGAUUUCUGAGCUACGUUCCUAGUUUUUCUUAGCCUCGACCACAGCAGUCUGACGGUCGUUAUAAAAUGGCUGUGCUUCCAAAUGACUUUAUUUGGUGACACCUGGUGUGUUCAGUGCAGUUGUGGAAGCUCACAGAAGAACGACCCGAUAAAGGAAAAUAAUCCACUGAAGCAGGCAGGGGAUGUAGAGUUUACUUCUACAAAUGUUUCUCACUGAAUAACAGCAUAUUCUGAGUGACAGCUGGGUGGAAAAUCUAAGUAAAUCAUGCAGAGCUGUACAUUGUGUGACUCUCCACUUUGUAGUCAUACAUUUCCAGUAGCAUUUUCUUCACGUAACUGUUAGGCUGUACCCAAUAGGAACUGAUUUGAUAAUCAGAGGUUGGUGGUCGUGAGCGAUACCUCGUACCAAUUAACUGGAAUAUUUAUCAGUUCAGUCUCUAUGUGAGUUUCUAUUAUAAAUAUUGUUUUUGCUUAUCUGGCACCAAAAAUAAUAGUUGUGUUUUGACAACUGCAUCAAUAACAUAUAAUUUACAUAACACAUACAGAUAGCAUCAAAAAUGUUUGAGGAUUGCUCUUUGUCAAAGGUUCCCUAUUCAUUGAAACAUAUUCUUUUAAACUCGCAGGAAAAACAGAUUGUUUCAGGAACAUCAAAGCUGUUGUAAUCUCUCUGUAUGGGGAUUCACUCUGCUUUGAAGUUUCUACAGCGGAACUCCUCGACUUCGUUAGGGUGCUUUACUAUUUGCAUGUUUAUAGAAAAUAAUAAUACGACUGCCAGUCCUUCUACUUCCACUCUCCCCUUUUUUUAAAUUUCAUCUGAGACAGCAAAUUAAUUGGAGUCACCAAGUGAUUUAAAAGUCGGCGUCAUGGUAACAAUUUGCAAUGUGUAAAAGUUCCCCAAGUGCCCUAUUGCUGAAAAGCUGUGAGGCUUCCCCUCUGCUAGCAUGACAAGGAAAUGCAUGAGAAAACCAGAGCUUCCUGCUCAGGAAGAGAAAUCGGCCGUCCUGCUCAGGAGCACCUCCUUUGCUUUAUCUGCAUUCAAUUUCUGGUCCAGCAAACAGAACCACGUGUGAACAUUCAUAAUCUUACCCACGCAGGCUCUGGGAGGCUAUGCACUCCCACGGUGUCACAGACCCCUCUGUAGUGUACUCAAGUGUUCCCUCUUUAUGGUGUAGAUGGCUUCAGGAACGAGCCUCUGGAACGGCUCCUGGGAUGUGGUUCUGUGGGAGACAUCACAGCUGACUUGGCCUCCUCACAUUUGAUAGCUGCUAAAACAUAGAAGGUGUAUGAACCAUAGCUCUGAGCAGGUUACUGUGGUUAAUGGAAAACCUAGAUUUCACUGUGUUUACUGAAGCACUGAAUUAAAGAAAUAUGAAUAAA